rnacentral:rRNA from 1 species
CAAAGUCUAUAUUAAGUGGGAAACGAAGUGGGAAGGCUUAGACAGCUAGGAUGUUGGCUUAGAAGCAGCCAUCAUUUAAAGAAAGCGUAAUAGCUCACUAGUCGAGUCGGCCUGCGCGGAAGAUGUAACGGGGCUCAAAUAUAGCACCGAAGCUGCGGCAUCAGACGAAAGUCUGUUGGGUAGGGGAGCGUUCUGUAAGCGGAUGAAGGUGGCUCGAGAGGGCUGCUGGACGUAUCAGAAGUGCGAAUGCUGACAUAAGUAACGAUAAAACGGGUGAAAAACCCGUUCGCCGGAAGACCAAGGGUUCCUGUCCAACGUUAAUCGGGGCAGGGUGAGUCGGCCCCUAAGGCGAGGCUGAAAAGCGUAGUCGAUGGGAAACGGGUUAAUAUUCCCGUACUUGGAUAAACUGCGAUGUGGGGACGGAGCAGGUUAGGUUAUCGCACUGUUGGAUAUGUGCGUUUAAGUUGGUAGGUGAGAAGUUUAGGCAAAUCCGGACUUCUUUAACACCGAGAGAUGAUGACGAGGCUCUACGGAGCUGAAGUAACCGAUACCACACUUCCAGGAAAAGCCACUAAGCUUCAGGUUUAUCUAAACCGUACUGAAAACCGACACAGGUGGUCAGGUAGAGAAUACUCAGGCGCUUGAGAGAACUCGGGUGAAGGAACUAGGCAAAAUAGCACCGUAACUUCGGGAGAAGGUGCGCCGGCGUAGAUUGUAGUCCCUAGCGGGCGAAGGUUGAACCGGUCGAAGAUACCAGCUGGCUGCAACUGUUUAUUAAAAACACAGCACUCUGCAAACACGAAAGUGGACGUAUAGGGUGUGAUGCCUGCCCGGUGCUGGAAGGUUAAUUGAUGGUGUAAUCGAAAGAGAAGCUCCUGAUCGAAGCCCCAGUAAACGGCGGCCGUAACUAUAACGGUCCUAAGGUAGCGAAAUUCCUUGUCGGGUAAGUUCCGACCUGCACGAAUGGCAUAAUGAUGGCCAGGCUGUCUCCACCCGAGACUCAGUGAAAUUGAAAUCGCCGUGAAGAUGCGGUGUACCCGCGGCUAGACGGAAAGACCCCGUGAACCUUUACUAUAGCUUGACACUGAACAUUGAAUUUUGAUGUGUAGGAUAGGUGGGAGCCUUUGAAGCAGUCACGCCAGUGAUUGUGGAGGCGUCCUUGAAAUACCACCCUUUAACGUUUGAUGUUCUAACGAAGAUUACGAAACGUGGUCUCGGACAGUGUCUGGUGGGUAGUUUGACUGGGGCGGUCUCCUCCCAAAGAGUAACGGAGGAGCACGAAGGUUUGCUAAUGACGGUCGGACAUCGUCAGGUUAGUGCAAUGGUAUAAGCAAGCUUAACUGCGAGACAGACAAGUCGAGCAGGUACGAAAGUAGGUCAUAGUGAUCCGGUGGUUCUGAAUGGAAGGGCCAUCGCUCAACGGAUAAAAG